GACGAACGCUGGCGGCGUGCUUAACACAUGCAAGUCGAACGGUGAAGCUCCAGCUUGCUGGAGUGGAUCAGUGGCGAACGGGUGAGUAACACGUGAGCAACCUGCCCCAGACUCUGGAAUAAGCGCUGGAAACGGCGUCUAAUACUGGAUACGAGAUCAAGCCGCAUGGUUAUGGUCUGGAAAGUUUUUCGGUUUGGGAUGGGCUCGCGGCCUAUCAGCUUGUUGGUGAAGUAAUGGCUCACCAAGGCGACGACGGGUAGCCGGCCUGAGAGGGCGACCGGCCACACUGGGACUGAGACACGGCCCAGACUCCUACGGGAGGCAGCAGUGGGGAAUAUUGCACAAUGGGCGAAAGCCUGAUGCAGCGACGCCGCGUGAGGGAUGACGGCCUUCGGGUUGUAAACCUCUUUCAGCAGGGAAGAAGCGAAAGUGACGGUACCUGCAGAAGAAGCACCGGCUAACUACGUG
rnacentral:rRNA from 1 species